rnacentral:ncRNA from 12 species
AAACAUUGAGGACGGAACGGGCAGCCGUCGCCUUUAUUUGGAGAUGCAGGGAACGUCAUCCUGCCAAUGUUU